rnacentral:rRNA from 1 species
UCCGGUUGAUCCUGCCGGACCCCACUGCUAUCGGGGUGGGACUAAGACAUGCUAGUCGUGCGCCUCCAAGCCACGGUGGAGGCGCGGCGUACAGCUCAGUAACACGUGGCUAACCUACCCUUGGGACAGGGACAACCCCGGGAAACUGGGGCUAAUCCCCGAUAGGUGAGGACUCCUGGAAUGGGUCCUCGCUGAAAGGGCGUCUAGACCAUGCUUCUAGACGCUGCCCAAGGAUGGGGCCGCGGCCGAUCAGGUUGUUGGUGAGGUAACGGCUCACCAAGCCUAAGACCGGUACGGGCCGUGAGAGCGGGAGCCCGGAGAUGGACACUGAGACAAGGGUCCAGGCCCUACGGGGCGCAGCAGUCGCGAAACCUCCGCAAUACGCGAAAGCGUGACGGGGCCACCCCGAGUGCCGUCCGCUGAGGACGGCUUUUCCCCAGUGUAGACAGCUGGGGGAAUAAGGGGAGGGCAAGUCGGGUGUCAGCCGCUGCGGUAAUACCCGCUCCCCGAGUGGUGGGGACGCUUAUUGGGCCUAAAGCAUCCGUAGCCGGCUGGACAAGUCCCCUGUUAAAUCCAGCGAUUUAAUCGCUGGGCUGCGGGGGAUACUGUCCAGCUAGGGGGCGGGAGAGGCCGGCGGUAUUCCCGGGGUAGGGGUGAAAUCUUAUAAUCCCGGGAGGACCACCAGUGGCGAAGGCUGCCGGCUGGAACGCGCCCGACGGUGAGGGAUGAAAGCUGGGGGAGCGAACCGGAUUAGAUACCCGGGUAGUCCCAGCUGUAAACGAUGCGGGCUAGGUGUUGGCACGGCUACAAGCCGUGUCAGUGCCGCAGGGAAGCCGUUAAGCCCGCCGCCUGGGGAGUACGGCCGCAAGGCUGAAACUUAAAGGAAUUGGCGGGGGAGCACCACAAGGGGUGAAGCUUGCGGUUUAAUUGGAGUCAACGCCGGG